rnacentral:rRNA from 1 species
UACGUAGGGUGCAAGCGUUAAUCGGAAUUACUGGGCGUAAAGCGUGCGCAGGCGGUUUUGUAAGUCUGAUGUGAAAUCCCCGGGCUCAACCUGGGAAUUGCAUUGGAGACUGCAAGGCUAGAAUCUGGCAGAGGGGGGUAGAAUUCCACGUGUAGCAGUGAAAUGCGUAGAGAUGUGGAGGAACACCGAUGGCGAAGGCAGCCCCCUGGGUCAAGAUUGACGCUCAUGCACGAAAGCGUGGGGAGCGAACGGG